rnacentral:rRNA from 1 species
UAGGUUUCUGCUAAGUCGCAAGACGAUGUAUAGGAGCUGACGCCUGCCCGGUGCUGGAAGGUUAAGGGGAUCUGUUAGAGCAAUCGAAGCAGUGAACUUAAGCCCCAGUAAACGGCGGCCGUAACUAUAACGGUCCUAAGGUAGCGAAAUUCCUUGUCGGGUAAGUUCCGACCCGCACGAAAGGCGUAACGAUUUGGGCACUGUCUCAACAACAGACUCGGUGAAAUUGUAAUUCCGGUGAAGAUGCCGGAUACCUGCGACAGGACGGAAAGACCCCAUGGAGCUUUACUGUAGCUUGACAUUGGGUCUUGGUACUACAUGUACAGGAUAGGUGGGAGGCUUUGAAACCAGGACGCCAGUUUUGGCGGAGCCAUCCUUGGGAUACCACCCUUGUAGUACUGGGACUCUAACCAUAGGCCAUGAAUCUGGUCUUGGGACACUGUCAGGUGGGCAGUUUGACUGGGGCGGUCGCCUCCCAAAAGGUAACGGAGGCGCUCAAAGGUUCUCUCAGUACGGUCGGAAAUCGUACGUAGAGUGUAAAGGCAAAAGAGAGCUUGAUUGCAAGACAUACAGGUCGAGCAAGGAUGAAAAUCGGACUUAGUGAUCCGGUGGUUCUGCGUGGAAGGGCCAUCGCUCAACGGAUAAAAGCUACCCUGGGGAUAACAGGCUUAUCUCCCCCAAGAGUCCACAUCGACGGGGAGGUUUGGCACCUCGAUGUCGGCUCAUCACAUCCUGGGGCUGUAGUAGGUCCCAAGGGUUGGGCUGUUCGCCCAUUAAAGUGGUACGCGAGCUGGGUUCAGAACGUCGUGAGACAGUUCGGUCCCUAUCCGUCGCAGGCGUAGGAAAUUUGAGAAGACCUGUCCUUAGUACGAGAGGACCGGGAUGGACGUACCUCUGGUGUACCAGUUGUCCUGCCAAGGGCAUGGCUGGGUAGCUAUGUACGGAAUGGAUAAGCGCUGAAAGCAUCUAAGCGCGAAGCCAACUUCAAGAUAAGAUUUCCCACCGCAAGGGUAAGACCCCAGAAAGACUAUCUGGUUGAUAGGUCGAAGGUGUAAGUGCAGCAAUGUAUUUAGCUUAUCGAUACUAAUAGGUCGAGGACUUGACCAA